rnacentral:misc_RNA from 1 species
AAGACUAUAGACCUGCGGAGUACCUGCGGAAGGAUCAUUAACGUUGGGGACUAACAAUCCCUCAGCGAGAUAGAACCCUUGCCUUUUCGAGUACCACACGUUUCCUCGGCGGGUACGCCUGCCAAUGGGGACCACAACAAAACCUUUUGUAAUAGCAGUAAACGUCUUAAAAACAAAACUUUUAAAACUUUCAACAAUGGAUCUCU